rfam:Echinostoma caproni strain Egypt genome assembly, scaffold: ECPE_scaffold0000604
GCACCACUGACGAGUCCCAAACAGGACGAAACAGCUGUCCAGUGC